CAUUUCAUGACAGGGAUUUGCUUGUUCUUUCAUGGCUCAUCUUCUCCCAUAACCUGUUUUCUAACCGUGUGACUGUCAUUUGUUCUCUGUUUCAGCAAGAGGACCCUUCUCUCUCCCACCGCAUGCAUAGUAUCCGGAGCAUAAACCAGGACCCUGCUGGACUUCAUGAUGACCCUGUCCAGCCUCUCAGUGAUGCUGCUGCAUUGUCAAAACAUCAAAGAAUAGAUGACUCCAUUCCUGGACCGGGACGUUUCCAACCUGUUCUCCUCUUCCAACCCCCCACCUCUCCACUCACCACAACUGGCCAUGGCAGAUGACUAUUCAACAGGAGUCUUGUUCUGAUUGCGGUCCCUUCCAUUAAACAGCUACAACUGCA